rnacentral:lncRNA from 1 species
AUGUCCAGCAAUUCUUUGAAACCCUAUCAAGCCUUGAUGGGCAAUCUUCCCAGAAGGUACACAGCUCUGGACGUACCAACACUCUAUUUAAAAACCGGUAAGGUAGAGUGGAAGGCAGAGCUGAGUGAAACUGAAACCUGGUAUUUGCUGGAGGUUUCUUUCUGGAAAGCUGACAGCACACCUCUGACCCUCUCCAAAAGGUCUGAUGUGAAAUAUUGCGACAAAGUUGGAAUCAAUUGGCAGAUUCUAAUAUUUUGCUGGCUUCAUGAAGGAAUGUCGAGGUUUAGGUUUUAAUGAUCUGGAACAUUCUAAAAGGUAUUUGGUUGAUUCGUCUUCAUAGGCUUGAUAGAAUUCUCUUGUGAAAUACUCUUGACCUAAAAUGUGUGUGUGUGUGUGUGUGUGUGUGUUGUGAGAAAGUAGGCAUAAAAGAGAAGAGAAGUCAAUAAUGACUCUAGAAUUCUGGCUUGCAUAUUUGUUUGGAUAGUGUUGCCAUUGCCUGAAAUAGGGAGCUCUGACAGAAGUCCAGGCUUAGGUGAAAAUCUCAUGGAUUUGAUUUUAAAUAAAUGUUGACUUUCAGAUUUUGCCUGACGAGGAGCCUCGGAGUGGCAUUGUACUUGUCAGAGAGACGAUGACCAGGAAAUUUGUGCAGAAGCUGUGUUUAAAUGUUGUAUUAGUUUGCUAGGGCUGCUACAACAAAAUACCCCAAACUGAGUUGCCUGAACAAUAGAAAUGGGUUCUCUCAUAGUUCUGGAGGCCAGAAGUCCAAAAUCAAGCUGUUGGCAGGGUUGGUUUCAUCUGAGAGAAGGAUCUGUUCUGGGCCUCUUUCCUAACAUCUGAUAGUUCCUUGGCUUGUGGUGGCAUAAACCCAGUCUUCACAUGGCAUUCUCCCUGUGUGUCUGGGGACACCCAUCAUAUAAGCCCACUCUAAUGACUUCAUUUUAACUUCAUUACCUCUGUAAAGCCUGUGUUUCCAAAUGAGCUCACAUUCUGAGAUAUUGGGGUUAGAACUUCAACAUCUGAAUAUUAGGGGGAAACACAAUUCAAACCAUAACAAAUAUCAAACAUACUCUCUUAAUUUAAAUUUUAUUUUUAUUUUGGGGUAGCUUCUGGGGUGGGGCUAAUGAAGAUUAUUUGGAGGAAAUGUUCCCCACCCACCAGCCACUCAUUGUUGCUGCCAAAAAUUUGCUGCUGUGUAUUGAGGUGACUUCAAGAUAUUCAAAAGCAUAUGUUAUGCUAAGCGAAGGAAGACAAGCACAGGAGACCAC